rnacentral:tRNA from 1 species
CCCCUGGUGGUCUAGUGGUUAGGAUGUGGUGCUCUCACCGCCGCGGCCUGGGUUCGAUUCCCGGUCAGGGGA